rnacentral:lncRNA from 1 species
CUUUAGUGGAUAAGGGAUGAGUUAGUGUCUAUUUAAAUUCAAAAUUUGAUUUGAAUUCAAAUGUGCAAUUACUCAUCUUUAUCCUUUCUUUUGGAUAAAAUGUUUGACGUUGUUAUAAAAGGAGGAGAAGAAUGGGGCAUGCAAGAAGAAGAUUUUUGGAGAAAAAUUCUGGGGCGUGAGAAGUCUUGUGCGUGAGAAGGAAGCCCAUAUCCUUCCAAGAGAAAAAGAAAGAAAAGAAAGAAAAGUGGGUGC